AGGACGAACGCUGGCGGCGUGCUUAACACAUGCAAGUCGAGCGAGCCCCUUCCUUCGGGAGGGUGUGCUAGCGGCGAACGGGUGAGUAACACGUGGGCAACCUGCCCUCAGCUCUGGGAUAACUCCAAGAAAUUGGGGCUAAUACCGGAUAUGACUGCUGACCGCAUGGUCUGGUGGUGGAAAGAUUUAUCGGCUGGGGAUGGGCCCGCGGCCUAUCAGCUUGUUGGUGGGGUAGUGGCCUACCAAGGCGACGACGGGUAGCCGGCCUGAGAGGGUGACCGGCCACACUGGGACUGAGACACGGCCCAGACUCCUACGGGAGGCAGCAGUGGGGAAUAUUGCGCAAUGGGCGAAAGCCUGACGCAGCGACGCCGCGUGGGGAUGACGGCCUUCGGGUUGUAAACCUCUUUCAGCAGGACGAAGCGAGAGUGACGGUACCUGCAGAAGAAGCACCGGCCAACUACGUGCCAGCAGCCGCGGU
rnacentral:rRNA from 1 species